rnacentral:rRNA from 1 species
AUUGAACGCUGGCGGCAUGCUUUACACAUGCAAGUCGAACGGUAACAGGUUAAGCUGACGAGUGGCGAACGGGUGAGUAAUGCAUCGGAACGUGCCCGGUCGUGGGGGAUAACGCAGCGAAAGCUGCGCUAAUACCGCAUACGAUCUGAGGAUGAAAGCGGGGGACCGUAAGGCCUCGCGCGAUCGGAGCGGCCGAUGUCAGAUUAGGUAGCUGGUGGGGUAAAGGCCCACCAAGCCGACGAUCUGUAGCUGGUCUGAGAGGACGACCAGCCACACUGGGACUGAGACACGGCCCAGACUCCUACGGGAGGCAGCAGUGGGGAAUUUUGGACAAUGGGCGAAAGCCUGAUCCAGCAAUGCCGCGUGCAGGAAGAAGGCCUUCGGGUUGUAAACUGCUUUUGUACGGAGCGAAAAGGUCCUUUCUAAUACAAGGGGCUUAUGACGGUACCGUAAGAAUAAGCACCGGCUAACUACGUGCCAGCCGCCGCCGUAAAAC